rnacentral:rRNA from 1 species
GACGAACGCUGGCGGCGUGCUUAACACAUGCAAGUCGAACGGAAAGGCCCUGCUUUUGUGGGGUGCUCGAGUGGCGAACGGGUGAGUAACACGUGAGUAACCUGCCCUUGACUUUGGGAUAACUUCAGGAAACUGGGGCUAAUACCGGAUAGGAGCUCCUGCUGCAUGGUGGGGGUUGGAAAGUUUCGGCGGUUGGGGAUGGACGCGCGGCUUAUCAGCUUGUUGGUGGGGUAGUGGCUUACCAAGGCAUUGACGGGUAGCCGGCCUGGGAGGGUGAACGGGGACAAGGGGACUGAGAGAGGGAGCAGAGGGGUACGUUAGGCAAUGGGGGCGAGUAUGACCCAGUGAGGGGGAGUGUGGGAUGGAAGCGUUGGGGGUGGAAUGAGGGUCUGCGGGGUGCGAAAAGCUUUCGCUUAAGACGGGGGGGGAGUGACGGUAAUGGAUGAAGAAGCACCGGCUAACUACGUG